GAUAGUGACUUCCCAGGUGAUG
rnacentral:miRNA from 12 species